UCACAGCAGUGAAGUUUGUUCAUGAAAAAGUAAUUCAGUGACAGCGGACUUUUGAUGAAGAAAAGUACUAAAUUGUAAUAGAUUUUACCCUUAGUUUUCUAAACUACAUUCUCCUAUAGCUAUUAACGCACACAGUGUUUUAUGU